AACGCUAGCUACAGGCUUAACACAUGCAAGUCGAGGGGAAACGACAUCGAAAGCUUGCUUUUGAUGGGCGUCGACCGGCGCACGGGUGAGUAACGCGUAUCCAACCUGCCCACCACUUGGGGAUAACCUUGCAAAAGUAAGACUAAUACCCGAUGAUAUCUCUAGACGACAUCUGAAAGGGAUUAAAGAUUUAUCGGUGAUGGAUGGGGAUGCGUCUGAUUAGCUUGUUGGCGGGGUAACGGCCCACCAAGGCAACGAUCAGUAGGGGUUCUGAGAGGAAGGUCCCCCACAUUGGAACUGAGACACGGUCCAAACUCCUACGGGAGGCAGCAGUGAGGAAUAUUGGUCAAUGGGCGAGAGCCUGAACCAGCCAAGUAGCGUGCAGGAUGACGGCCCUAUGGGUUGUAAACUGCUUUUAUAAGGGAAUAAAGUGAGUCUCGUGAGACUUUUUGCAUGUACCUUAUGAAUAAGGACCGGCUAAUUCCGUGCCAGCAGCCGCGGUAAUACGGAAGGUCCGGGCGUUAUCCGGAUUUAUUGGGUUUAAAGGGAGCGUAGGCCGUCGUUUAAGCGUGUUGUGAAAUGCCGCGGCUCAACCGUGGCACUGCAGCGCGAACUGGAUGACUUGAGUUCGCGGGAGGUAGGCGGAAUUCGUGGUGUAGCGGUGAAAUGCUUAGAUAUCACGAAGAACUCCGAUUG
rnacentral:rRNA from 1 species